UUCCUUAGGCUGUAUGUAGGAAAAAAAUGCUGACAACAAUUCAGAAAACUUUCUAAAUAGGGAAAUGUUUUCAAACCGAAAAAUGCAGCAGAUAUAGGCAUACUGAGCAUUACUUUCAUGCAGUUUUCCCAUAUGAAAAAAAAGGAUUUACGGUCGAUUUUAAUGAAAUUCGAAGGAGAACUUGAUCGCAUCAUUUGAGCAGAACUAAGCUUUUGGUAUCAUAACGGGACACAUAGAACAAUGAGCUCACCUUUGCAAACUAGGUGCGGCAAGUGAUAGCAUGUUGUAGGACAUGUGGGGAAGAUGAUGAGACGUUGG
rnacentral:sRNA from 1 species